rnacentral:lncRNA from 1 species
UAGGGCCUAGCACUGCAUUUUUGGUUUUGGGGGGAGAGGCAUGAGGAUGGGGGUUAACCCUGUGCAUUUCCCCCCUAGGACUGAUGACUGAAAUAAUUAAAAGAAGCAUGUUGUGGUGCUCACAGCCUCCUACCUGCUGGUCUGCAAAUGGGACCUCACCACACUGAGCUCCUUCCCGGCGCAGCAAAUCUCACUGACCACCAUUGACUGUGUUGGCCACUUCACCAUUCCAGAGGAAUCCAGAGAAGAGGGCUGUGGAAGUGGAGCGGAACAGCCAGCUUCAGAGAACUGAGCUGACAGGACCAAGUCUGGCAUUUUGGCUGCUGCAGGUGGGCCAAGCAAUCACCAGGAAUUGCCAUCCAUCCUCUGAAGAUAACAUGACCCAUGCUGGGGACAUUUGAGCCAAAGAGAUGGGGAAAUGCCAAAGAUCCCUGGCUUGUCA